rnacentral:rRNA from 1 species
CCUACGGGUGGCAGCAGUAGGGAAUCUUCGGCAAUGGACGAAAGUCUGACCGUGCAACGCCGCGUGAGUGAAGAAGGUUCUCGGAUCGUUAAACUCCGUUGGUAGAGAAGAACGUUGGUGAGAGUGGAAAGCUCAUCAAGUGACGGUAACUACCCAUAACGGGACGGCUAACUACGUGCCAGCAGCCCGGGUAAUACGUAGUUCCCGAGCGUUGUCCGUUUUUAUUGGGCGUAAAGCGAGGGCUGUUGGUUUGUAAAGUCUGUUGUAAAGGGGGGUGGUCAAACCAGUGUAUGCAUUGGAAAGUGGAAGACUAGAGUGCAGGAGAGGAAAGUGGAAUUCGAGGUGUAGCGGUGAAAUGCGUAGAUAUAUGGAGGAACACCGGUGGCGAAGGCGGCUCUCUGGGCUGUAACUGACACUGAGGCUCGAAAGCGUGGGGAGCAAACAGGAUUAGAUACCCUGGUAGUC